rnacentral:rRNA from 1 species
CGGUGGAUGCCUAGGCAGUUAGAGGCGAUGAAGGACGUGUAAGUCUGCGAAAAGCUGUGGUGAGCCGACAAAAUGCAUUUGAGCCACAGAUGUCCGAAUGGGGAAACCCAGUGCAUUUAUGCACUAUCUGCAACUGAAUACAUAGGUUGUAGAGGCAAACGAGGGGAACUGAAACAUCUAAGUACCCGGAGGAAAGGAAAUCAAUUGAUACUCCCCUAGUAGCGGCGAGCGAACGGGGAGCAGCCCUUAAGCUGUUUAGAAUUUAGUGGAAUCCUUUGGGAAGAGGAGCGAUACAAGGUGAUAGCCCUGUACACGACGGAUUCUUUACAGUGAAAUCGAGUAGGUCGGGACACGUGUUAUCUUGACUGAAUAUGGGGGGACCAUCCUCCAAGGCUAAAUACUCCUAACUGACCGAUAGUGAACCAGUACCGUGAGGGAAAGGCGAAAAGAACCCCUGUGAGGGGAGUGAAAUAGAACCUGAAACCGUAUACGUACAAGCAGUGGGAGCAGACUUGUUCUGUGACUGCGUACCUUUUGUAUAAUGGGUCAGCGACUUAUAUUUUGUAGCAAGGUUAACCGAAUAGGGGAGCCGUAGUGAAAGCGAGCGUUAACUGCGCGUCUAGUUGCAAGGUAUAGACCCGAAACCCGGUGAUCUAGCCAUGGGCAGGUUGAAGGUUGAGUAACAUCAACUGGAGGACCGAACCCACUGACGUUGAAAAGUCAGGGGAUGACCUGUGGCUGGGGGUGAAAGGCCAAUCAAACCGGGAGAUAGCUGGUUCUCCCCGAAAUCUAUUUAGGUAGAGCCUCGGACGAAUUCCAUUGGGGGUAGAGCACUGUUAAGGCUAGGGGGUCAUCCCGACUUACCAACCCUUUGCAAACUCCGAAUACCCAUGAGUGCUAUCCGGGAGACACACGGCGGGUGCUAACGUCCGUCGUGGAGAGGGAAACAACCCAGACCGCCAGCUAAGGUCCCAAAAUAUUGCUAAGUGGGAAACGAUGUGGGAAGGCAUAGACAGCUAGGAGGUUGGCUUAGAAGCAGCCACCCUUUAAAGAAAGCGUAAUAGCUCACUAGUCGAGUCGGCCUGCGCGGAAGAUGUAACGGGGCUAAGCAAUAUACCGAAGCUGCGGAUACGUGUUUACACGUAUGGUAGGGGAGCGUUGUGUAAGUGGUUGAAGGUGAGCUGUGAGGCUUGCUGGACAUAUCACAAGUGCGAAUGCUGACAUGAGUAACGAUAAAGGGGGUGAAAAACCCCCUCGCCGAGAGCCCAAGGGUUCCUGUCCAAGGAUCAUCCGGGCAGGGUUAGUCGGCCCCUAAGGCGAAGCCGAGAGGCGUAGUCGAUGGGAAACAGGCGAACAUUCCUGUACCUUCAUUCAGGAGCAGAGCAGGGACGGAGAAGGCUAGGUCAUCCGGGUGAUGGAUCCCGGUACAAGCCUGUAGGGAGUGGCAGUAGGAAUAAAACGCGGCCACAUAUCCCGAGGGGUGAUGUCGAAAGUGAUUGAUGCCACGCUUCCAAGAAAAGCUGCGUACUGUGUAGAAUGAAUGGAGACCGUACCCCAAACCGACUCAGGUGGGCGAGUGGAGAACACUAAGGCGCUUGAGAGAAGCCAGGUUAAGGAACUAGGCAAAUUGACACCGUAACUUCGGGAUAAGGUGUGCCACCG